rnacentral:lncRNA from 1 species
GGUUUCUGCACCAUCAGGAAGUUCUGACUCUGGACACUUCUGUGCUGACCUCAGUACUCUGCAUUUAACCACGGGCUCCAGCAGUAAAGCACAGAAAGGCGAGUGCACCGAUGCGCCUGGUAGGAGAGCCACGCCCGUGCGGUGUGAGGUUCCAUGGGCCGUCAGCGUCUGCUUGCAGUGUGUGCAGACCCAGUCUUCCUGCCUCGACGUGAGUGGUAGAUGAUGUGAGCAGGGGCAUUGCCACAGAGGAG